CCAGAGUUCAUGGAAAUGAGUGUUGAGCAGGAAAUUCUGGUGACUGGUAUCAAGGUUGUCGAUCUGCUAGCUCCCUAUGCCAAGGGUGGCAAAAUUGGGCUUUUUGGUGGUGCCGGAGUUGGCAAGACUGUACUGAUCAUGGAGUUAAUCAACAAUGUCGCCAAAGCCCAUGGUGGUUACUCUGUGUUUGCUGGUGUUGGUGAGAGGACCCGUGAAGGCAAUGAUUUAUACCAUGAAAUGAUUGAAUCUGGUGUUAUCAACUUAUUGAUAACAUCUUUCGCUUCACCCAGGCUGGUUCAGAGGUGUCUGCAUUAUUGGGCCGAAUCCCUUCUGCUGUGGGCUAUCAGCCUACCCUGGCCACUGACAUGGGUACUAUGCAGGAAAGAAUUACCACUACCAAGAAGGGAUCUAUCACCUCUGUACAGGCUAUCUAUGUGCCUGCUGAUGACUUGACUGACCCUGCCCCUGCUACUACGUUUGCCCAUUUGGAUGCUACCACUGUACUGUCGCGUGCCAUUGCUGAGCUGGGCAUCUAUCCAGCUGUGGAUCCUCUAGACUCCACCUCUCGUAUCAUGGAUCCCAACAUUGUUGGCAGUGAGCAUUACGAUGUUGCCCGUGGGGUGCAAAAGAUCCUGCAGGACUACAAAUCCCUCCAGGAUAUCAUUGCCAUCCUGGGUAUGGAUGAACUUUCUGAGGAAGAUAAGUUGACUGUGUCCCGUGCACGGAAAAUACAGCGUUUCUUGUCUCAGCCAUUCCAGGUUGCUGAGGUCUUCACAGGUCAUAUGGGGAAGCUGGUACCCUUGAAGGAGACCAUCAAAGGGUUCCAGCAGAUUUUGGCAG
rnacentral:sRNA from 1 species